rfam:Methanomicrobiales archaeon 53_19 MPJ_scaffold_340, whole genome shotgun sequence.
CGUCCUAUCUGUCUGGGAUGAUGUUCCUACCAUGGCAUGCGCUCCUGGUAACGGGGGUGUGUGAAGCCCAUGGGACAACGUGGAGAAGAAUAGAACCCUGAUCUGUUUAAUCUGCCAGGAAAAGAACGCCAUGGAGAAGCAAACGCCGAAUCAUUGUGAAAGG